rnacentral:rRNA from 1 species
ACAGCAGUAGCCGCGGGAAUACGAGGGGGGCAAGCGUUGUUCGGAAUUAUUGGGCGUAAAGGGUGCGUAGGCGGUUUGAUAAGUCUUGUGUGAAAUCUCUGGGCUUAACCCAGAGUCUGCACAGGAAACUGUCGGGCUUGAGAGUGGGAGAGGUGAGUGGAAUUUCCGGUGUAGCGGUGAAAUGCGUAGAUAUCGGAAGGAACACCUGUGGCGAAAGCGGCUCACUGGACCAUUUCUGACGCUGUUGCACGAAAGCUAGGGGAGCAAACAGGAUUAGAUACCCGCGUAGUCCCUGUCUCUUAUAA